AGGCUGCUUGUUUCUACUAAAUCAUUCCUACAUUCACAAUGAAGGUCCUACUGUUCGUUAUUGUCGCCAUGGCUGCAGUUUUCUGGUCUCCAGUUGCUGCCCAAUUUUGCGAAGCUCCAUAUUCAUGUGUAAACCUCUGCGUGUUCGGUGCCGGUCCUGGAAUCUGCCCGUCUGGACAGACCUGCUGCGGAUUGGGAUUAGGAGGAAAAUAAAGUAGUCGGUCCAUCUACGCGGCCCUUCCACUACAUUGUUGUCUAUUGCGUAACACGUUACAUAUGGCCUUUUGAGUUAAACAUUCUAAACAUAAAAUAAAGAAAAAUCAAAAUAAAGAAUGCAAGCCUAAGUUAAUUGUUA